UACGUAUGGAGCAAGCGUUAUCCGGAUUUACUGGGCGUAAAGGGAGCGUAGGCGGCCUGCCAAGUCUGAUGUGAAAUACCGGGGCUCAACCCCGGGGCUGCCGUUGAAACCGGAGCGCUAGAAUUCCGAUGCCGUCGGAGGAAUGUGUGGUGUAGCGGUGAAAUGCAUAGAUAUCACACAGAACACCGAUUGCGAAGGCAUCUGACGAAUCGGAGAUUGACGCUGAUGCACGAAAGCGUGGGUAUCGAACAGG
rnacentral:rRNA from 1 species